AUGAAAUUACUUUAUCUUCUUUUCACACCCUGUGGAGAAUCCGGUGCUGGAAGGACCAAGCGUGUCAUCCAGUACUUUGCUACCAUGUGGGUGGUGGAGGAGAUAAUAAGAAGGAUGCAGGCGCUGGAAAGAUAAAAGGGUCACUGGAGGACCAGAUUAUUGCAGCCAAUCCCCUGCUGGAGGCCUAUGGUAAUGCCAAGACUGUGAGAAAUGACAACUCCUCCCGUUUUGGUAAAUUCAUCAGAAUUCAUUUCCAAGCAAACGGUAAACUAUCCAGUGCUGACAUUGAGACGUAUCUGCUGGAGAAGUCAAGAGUGACAUUCCAGCUUCCCGAUGAGAGAGGCUAUCACAUCUUCUACCAGAUGAUGACCAACCACAAACCUGAGAUCAUUGAAAUGACCCUCAUCACCAGCAACCCCUACGACUUCCCCAUGUGCAGUCAGGGUCAGAUCACUGUGGCCAGCAUUGAUGUCAAAGAGGAGCUGGAUGCUACUGAUGCUGCUAUUGAUAUUUUGGGCUUCACUAAUGAGGACAAGGUGGGCAUCUUUAAGUUUACUGGUGCUGUGCUUCACCACGGUAACAUGAAGUUCAAGCAGGAGCAGCGUGAGGAGCAGGCUGAGCCAGAUGGCAAUGAAGAGGCCGACAAGAUUUCCUAUCUACUGGGUCUGAACCUUGCUGAUAUGCUCAAGGCUCUUUGCUACCCAAGAGUGAAGGUCGGAAAUGAGUAUGUCACCAAGGGACAGACUGUACCUCAGGUCAACAACUCAGUCACUGCCCUGGCCAAGUCUAUCUAUGAGAGGAUGUUCUUGUGGAUGGUCAUCUGUAUCAACACGAUGCUGGACACCAAGCAAGCAAGACAAUUCUACAUUGGUGUGCUGGACAUUGCUGGUUUUGAGAUUUUUGAUUACAACAGCAUGGAGCAGCUAUGCAUCAACUUCACCAAUGAGAAACUGCGACAGUUUCUUCAACCACCACAUGUUCGUCCUGGAGCAAGAGGAGUACAAGAAGGAGGGUAUCAUCUGGGAGUUCAUUGACUUCGGCAUGGACUUGGCUGCCUGCAUUGAUCUUAUUGAGAAGCCAAUGGGCAUCUUCUCCAUCCUUGAAGAGGAGUGCAUGUUCCCCAAGGCCUCAGACGUUACCUUCAAGAACAAGCUGUAUGACCAGCAUCUUGGCAAGACCAAAGCAUUUGAGAAGCCCAAGCCUGCAAAGGGCAAGGCUGAGGCCCACUUCUCCCUGGUGCACUAUGCUGGUACCGUGGACUACAACGUCACUGGCUGGCUGGACAAGAACAAGGAUCCCCUGAAUGACUCUGUUAUUCAGCUGUACCAGAAGUCCUCAAACAAACUGCUGCCUGUCCUGUACCCACCUGUCGGGGGUGCAAAGAAGGGAGGCAAGAAAAAGGGUGGCUCCAUGCAGACCGUGUCUUCACAGUUCAGGGGGAACUUGGGCAAACUGAUGACCAACUUGAGGAGCACCCAUCCUCACUUUGUGCGUUGCCUGAUUCCUAAUGAGUCAAAGACUCCAGGACUCAUGGAGAACUCCCUGGUUAUCCACCAGCUGAGGUGUAACGGUGUGCUGGAGGGCAUCAGAAUAUGCAGAAAGGGCUUCCCCAGCAGAAUUCUCUAUGCUGACUUCAAGCAGAGGUACAAAGUACUGAACGCCGGUGUCGUCCCUGUAGGCCAGUUUAUUGACAACAAGAAGGCUUCUGAGAAACUGCUUGGGUCCAUCGAUGUGCCUCACGAUGAGUACAAAUUUGGACACACCAAGGUGUUCUUCAAAGCUGGUCUUCUGGGUACUCUUGAGGAGAUGCGAGAUGAGAAGCUGGCUGCUCUUGUCGGAAUGAUUCAGGCUGCAUGCAGAGGUUAUGUCAUGAGAAAGGAGUAUGUGAAGAUGACAGAGAGGAGGGAAGCCAUCUACACUAUUCAGUACAACAUCCGCUCAUUCAUGAAUGUCAAACACUGGCCAUGGAUGAAGGUGUACUACAAGAUCAAGCCUCUUCUGAAGAGUGCUGAAACCGAGAAGGAGCUUUCCAAUAUGAAGGAUAACUAUGAAAAGAUGAAGACAGACCUGGCAGCUGCCCUGGCCAAGAAGAAGGAACUUGAGCAGAAGAUGGUUUCUCUCCUGCAGGAGAAGAAUGAUCUUUCACUGCAAGUUGCUUCUGAAGGAGAGAAUCUGAAUGAUGCUGAAGAAAGGUGUGAAGGACUCAUCAAGAGUAAGAUUCAGCUGGAGGCCAAACUUAAAGAGACAACUGAGAGACUGGAGGAUGAGGAGUAAAUAAAUGCUGAGCUGACUGCCAAGAAGAGGAAACUUGAAGAUGAAUGCUCUGAGUUUAAGAAGGACAUUGAUGAUUUGGAGCUUACCUUGGUCAAAGUGGAGAAGGAGAAACAUGCCACUGAGAACAAGGUGAAGAACCUGACUGAGGAGAUGGCCUCUCAGGAUGAGAGUGUUGCUAAGCUGACAAAGGAGAAGAAAGCCCUCCAAGAGUCAAACCAGCAGACCCUUGAUGACCUGCAGGCAGAGGAAGACAAAGUCAACACUCUGACCAAGGCCAAGACAAAGCUUGAACAGCAAGUGGAUGAUCUUGAAGGUUCACUGGAGCAAGAGAAGAAGCUCUGUAUGGACCUUGAGAGAUCCAAGAGAAAGCUUGAGGGUGAUCUGAAACUGGCCCAGGAAACUGAUGGAUCUUGAGAACGACAAACAGCAGUCUGAUGAGAAAAUCAAGAAGAAGGACUUUGAGACCAGCCAGCUUCUGAGCAAAAUUGAGGAUGAGCAGUCCCUGGGUGCUCGGCUUCAGAAAAAGAUCAAGGAGCUUCAGGCCCGGAUUGAAGAGCUGGAGGAAGAGAUUGAGAACUUGAAGAGAUCAGUGAGAGGCUUGAGGAGGCUGGUGGAGCCACUUCUGCUCAAAUUGAGAUGAACAAGAAGCGUGAAGCUGAGUUUCAGAAGCUGCGUCGUGACCUUGAGGAGUCCACCCUGCAGCAUGAAGCCACUGCUGCUGCUCUGCGUAAGAAGCAGGCUGACAGUGUAGCAGAGCUGGGAGAGCAGAUUGAUAACCUCCAGCGUGUCAAGCAGAAGCUUGAGAAGGAGAAGAGCGAGUACAAGAUGGAGAUUGAUGACAUCUCCGGCAACAUGGAAGCUGUUUCUAAGGCCAAGGGAAAUCUGGAAAAGAUUUGCCGUACCCUUGAGGACCAACUCAGUGAAAUCAAGGCUAAGAGUGAUGAGAAUGCUCGCCAGGUCAAUGACAUCAGUGCCCAGAGAGCAAGACUGCUGACAGAAAAUGGUGAGUUUGGGCGACAGCUUGAGGAGAAGGAAGCUCUUGUCUCCCAGCUGACCAGAGGCAAGCAGGCCUAUACUCAGCAGGUUGAGGAGCUGAAGAGGCAAAAUGAGGAGGAAGUAAAGGUAAAGAAUGCUCUUGCUCAUGGUGUGCAAUCAGCCCGCCAUGACUGCGACCUUCUGAGGGAGCAGUUUGAGGAGGAGCAGGAGGCUAAGGCUGAGCUGCAGCGUGGAAUGUCCAAGGCCAAUGGUGAGGUGGCUCAGUGAAGGAGCAAGUAUGAAACUGAUGCUAUCCAGCGCACUGAAGAGCUAGAGGAGUCCAAGUGAAAAAAGCUUGCCCAGCGCCUUCAAGAGGCUGAGGAACAGAUUGAGGCUGUGAACUCCAAGUGUGCCUCUCUGGAGAAGACCAAACAGAGACUCCAGGGUGAGGUGGAGGACCUCAUGGUUGAUGUGGAGAGGGCCAACGGACUGGCAGCCAACCUAGACAAGAAGCAGAGGAACUUUGACAAGGUUUUGGCUGACUGGAAGCAGAAAUAUGAGGAGGGUCAGGCAGAGCUUGAAGGAAGUCUUAAAGAGGCUCGUUCUCUCAGCACUGAGCUUUUCAAGAUGAAGAACUCCUAUGAAGAAACUCUAGAUCAUCUGGAGACCAUGAAGCGUGAAAACAAAAACCUUCAACAGGAGAUUUCUGAUUUGACUGAACAAAUUGGUGAGACCGGAAAGAGCAUCCAUGAGCUGGAGAAAUCCAAGAAGCAGGUGGAGACAGAGAAGACUGAGAUCCAGUCAGCCCUUGAGGAAGCUGAGGGAACCCUGGAGCAUGAGGAAUCCAAGAUUCUGCGUGUCCAACUGGAGCUGAACCAGAUUAAGGGUGAGGUUGACAGGAAGCUGGCUGAAAAGGAUGAGGAGAUGGAGCAGAUCAAGAGGAACAGCCAGAGGGUCAUUGACUCCAUGCAGGCCACUCUUGACUCUGAGGUCAGGAGCAGGAAUGAUGCCCUGAGAAUCAAGAAGAAGAUGGAAGGAGACCUGAAUGAGAUGGAGAUCCAGCUGAGUCAUGCCAACCGCCAGGCUGCUGAGGCCCAGAAGCAGCUGAGAAAUGUUCAAGGACAACUGAAGGAUGCCCAACUGCAUCUUGAUGAUGCUGUCAGAGCUGCGGAAGACCUGAAGGAGCAGGCUGCCAUGGUGGAACGUAGGAACGGUCUCAUGGUGGCUGAAAUUGAGGAGCUGAGGGCAGCUCUGGAACAGACAGAGAGAGGCCGCAAAGUGGCUGAGCAAGAGCUGCUGGAUGCCAGCGAGCGUGUUGGACUGCUGCACUCUCAGAACACAAGCCUGUUGAACUCAAAGAAAAAGCUGGAAAGUGACCUGGUCCAAGUCCAGGGUGAGGUGGACGACAGUGUCCAGGAAGCCAGAAAUGCUGAAGAGAAGGCCAAGAAAGCCAUCACUGAUGCUGCCAUGAUGGCUGAGGAGCUGAAAAAAGAGCAGGAUACUAGUUCUCACCUUGAGAGGAUGAAGAAGAACCUGGAGGUCACAGUGAAAGACCUGCAGCAUCGCCUGGAUGAGGCUGAGAACCUGGCCAUGAAGGGUGGCAAGAAGCAGCUGCAGAAACUGGAGGCCAGAGUUCGCGAUCUGGAGUCAGAGGUUGAUAAUGAACAGAGGCGUGGAGCAGAAGCUAUAAAAGGUGUCCGCAAAUAUGAGAGGAGAGUCAAGGAACUCACCUACCAGACUGAGGAGGAUAAGAAGAAUGGCUGCAGACUUCAGGAUCUUGUUGACAAGCUGCAAAUGAAGGUGAAGGCUUACAAGAGACAGUCUGAGGAAGCGGAGGAGCAGGCCAACUCUUACCUGUCCAAGUGCAGGAAGGUUCAACAUGAGCUGGAGGAGGCUGAGGAACGUGCUGAUAUUGCUGAGACUCAGGUCAACAAGCUGAGGGCCAAGACCCGUGACUCUGGAAAGGGAAAGGAGACUGCUGAAUAAUUCCUCAUAUUUGAAACAUCAUUCAUACAAGUCAUAAAAUAUGGCUAAAUUGUGAAAAGAAAUCAAUAAACUAUAGAACAACUUUC